rnacentral:rRNA from 1 species
CCUACGGGGGGCAGCAGCUAAGAAUAUUCCGCAAUGGACGAAAGUCUGACGGAGCGACGCCGCGUGGAUGACGAAGGCCGAACGGUUGUAAAGUCCUUUUGCUGGGGAAGAAUAACCAUGGGAGGGAAUGCCCGUGGGAUGACAUGAACCGGCGAAUAAGCCCCGGCUAACUACGUGCCAGCAGCCGCGGUAACACGUAGGGGGAGAGCGUUGUUCGGAAGUACUGGGGGUAAAGCUGUUGUAGGGGGGUGAAAGUCACCGGCUCAACCGGGGGAUUGCGGUGGGAACUGCGGGGCUUGAAUCAUGGAGAGGGAGCUGGAAUUCCAGGUGUAGGGGUGAAAUCUGUAGAGAUCUGGAAGAACACCAGUGGCGAAGGCGAGCUCCUGGCCAAUGAUUGACGCUGAGGUGCGAAAGUGUGGGGAUCAAACAGGAUUAGAUACCCCUGUAGUC